rnacentral:rRNA from 1 species
UACGGGGGGAGCAAGCGUUGUUCGGAUUUACUGGGCGUAAAGGGCGCGUAGGCGGCCAGCACAAGUCAGUUGUGAAAUCUCCGGGCUUAACUCGGAACGGUCAGCUGAUACUGCUUUGCUAGAGUGCAGAAGGGGCAAUCGGAAUUCUUGGUGUAGCGGUGAAAUGCGUAGAUAUCAAGAGGAACACCUGAGGUGAAGACGGGUUGCUGGGCUGACACUGACGCUGAGGCGCGAAAGCUAGGGUAGCAAACGGG